rnacentral:rRNA from 1 species
CAAUAGCGUAUAUUAAAGUUGUUGCGGUUAAAAAGCUCGUAGUUGGAUUUCUGCUGAGAACGACCGGUCCGCCCUUUGGGUGUGUAUCUGGCUCUUUCUUGGCAUCUUCUUGGUGAACGUUGCUGCACUUGACUGUGUGGAGCGCUACCCAGGACUUUUACUUUGAGGAAAUUAGAGUGUUUCAAGCAGGCAUACGCCUUGAAUACAUUAGCAUGGAAUAAUAAGAUAGGACUUCGGCCCUAUUUUGUUGGUUCUGGAGCUGAGGUAAUGAUUGAUAGGGAUAGUUGGGGGUGCUCGUAUUCAACGGCCAGAGGUGAAAUUCUUGGAUUCGUUGAAGACGAACUUAUGCGAAAGCAUUCACCAAGGAUGUCUUCUUUAA